UUUAAAAUUUUAUUUUUGGUUCGUCUAAAGACGAUAUGUUUAUUGGAUUUUAAAGAAACAUCUACCAUCUAAAAAAGAUAGUAGAGUUUCAGUAGAAAAUAGGUCUUUCGACCGUUUUUUAAUGAUCCUUCCGCAGGUUCACCUACGAAAA
rnacentral:misc_RNA from 1 species